GCCUGGAGCAGUGUUAAAUUUUGACUAGGAAGGUAGCUGUUUUCUGUAUAGAACUGUUGUAGAGAAGAGAAAAUAGAGAAGAAGAAAAAAUUAUAAAUUAAAAAGUCAACCUUUGAGAAGCCAGUAACUUAUCACAAGAAAGACAAAAUACUUCUCUUAAAUAUUACAUGUUACAAAAUAAAAUCUCUAAGCUUCAAAAGUUUUGCCAUAAAGAGCAUACAUGGAGAACAUAUUAAAUAGUAUGAUGCUAUCAGAGGAAGGCAACAUGACUCUUCCCUCCAGGAAGACUGGCAGAAGUAAACUCUGCCCAGGAUGGCAAAAACCUGCAAAAUAAGGCCAGUAGACACAAAAAGUGAGAUACUUCAAUGUAGAAAAGUUCAGUUUUGAGAUCCAUGGCUGUAGUUACUGCAAGCCACUCUGCAGAUCCGUGUUCUAUGAUAAUCCAAGCAGCAUAGGCUUGAUGGUUCAGGGAUAACCCAGAUGAAUGGAAAACUGGUUUAUGCAGCAUGCUGUUCUCGUGAGAUUGUGACAACACUAUCAGUGAAAGUUGUUGGAAAGCAGAUUGCUCCUUGCUGCACCAAGCCGUGCCUGCACUCAGCAGGGUAUUACACCACCUGGAGAGCCAAUGGGCUCACUGCUGUCCUAGAAAGCAAGGUUCCCAAAACGAAAGAAGCAUGGAAGAGAAACCUGCUGCAGGGCUCUGCUCUUCUCUUGUCUACUGGAGCCAUGUGAAAACACUGAAUACCACUUUUUCCUCAUGCUCUCCAAAAAUAAUCACUAAGUACACCAUACCUUUCCUCUUCAAG